rnacentral:rRNA from 1 species
GGGAGGUAGUGACAAUAAAUAACAAUACGGGGUUCUUUAGGAUUUCGUAAUUGGAAUGAGUACAAUUUAAAUCUCUUAACGAGGAACAAUUGGAGGGCAAGUCUGGUGCCAGCAGCCGCGGUAAUUCCAGCUCCAAUAGCGUAUAUUAAAGUUGUUGCAGUUAAAAAGCUCGUAGUUGAAUUUCGGGAUCAAUUUAUCGGUCGUGCCUCUGGUAUGCACUGGUAUUAUUGAUUUCUACCUUCUGACGAACCAUGAUGUCAUUAAUUUGGUGUCAUGGGGAAUCAGGACUGUUACUUUGAAAAAUUAGAGUGUUUAAAGCAAGCACACGCUUGAAUACAUUAGCAUGGAAUAAUGAAAUAGGACGUUUGACCCUAUUUUGUUGGUUUCUAGGAUCGACGUAAUGAUUAAUAGGGAUAGUUGGG